AACUAGGAUGCCUUCAGUAACGGCGAGCGAAGCAGGCAUAGCUCAAAUUUGUAAUCUGGCGCCUUUGGCGUCCGAGUUGUAUUUUCUAGAAGCGAGUUCGGCGACAGCUCCUACCCAAGUCCGUUGGAACGCGGCGUCAUGGAGGGUGAGAAUCCCGUGAAUGGUAGGAUGUCUGCUGCUAUGUGAACCGCCUUCGAAGAGUCGAGUUGUUUGGGAAUGCAGCUCUAAAUGGGAGGUAAAUUUCUUCUAAAGCUAAAUAUUGGCCAGAGACCGAUAGCGAACAAGUAGAGUGAUCGAAAGAUGAAAAGAACUUUGAAAAGAGAGUUAAACAGUACGUGAAAUUGUUGAAAGGGAAGCGCUUGAGAUCAGACUUCCUGUCUGGACUGUCCUUGCUUUUGCUUGGGUCAACAGUCCAGGCGUGGAGGCCAGCAUCAGUUUUGACGGCCGGAUAAAGGCCUUGGGAAGGUAGCUCCCCUCGGGGAGUGUUAUAGCCCAGGGUGUAAUACGGCCAGUUGGGACUGAGGACCGCGGCUCUGCCUAGGAUGCUGG
rnacentral:rRNA from 1 species